rnacentral:rRNA from 1 species
GGGUUAGUAGGUUGGUCAUGCCUCUGGUAUGUACUGGUCUCACUGAUUCCUCCCUUCUGAAGAACCGUUAUGCCAUUUAUUUGGUGUGGCGGGAAAUCAGGACUGUUACUUUGAAAAAAUUAGAGUGUUUAAAGCAAGCUAACGCUUGAAUACAUUAGCAUGGAAUAAUGAAAUAGGACGUUCGAUCCUAUUUUGUUGGUUUCUAGGAUUGACGUA